rnacentral:rRNA from 1 species
UUACGGCUCAGUAACACGUAGUCAACCUACCCUAUGGACGGGGAUAACCUCGGGAAACUGAGAAUAAUACCCGAUAGAACAUUAUGCCUGGAAUGGUUUAUGUUUCAAAUAAUUUAUUGCCGUAGGAUGGGACUGCGGCCUAUCAGUUUGUUGGUGAGGUAAUGGCCCACCAAGACUAUUACAGGUACGGGCUCUGAGAGGAGUAGCCCGGAGAUGGGUACUGAGACACGGACCCAGGCCCUAUGGGGCGCAGCAGGCGAGAAAACUUUGCAAUGUGCGAAAGCACGACAAGGUUAAUCCGAGUGGUUUCUGCUAAAGGAACCUUUUGUCAGUCCUAGAAACACUGGUGAAUAAGGGGUGGGCAAGUUCUGGUGUCAGCCGCCGCGGUAAGACCAGCACCUCAAGUGGUCAGGAUGAUUAUUGGGCCUAAAGCAUCCGUAGCCUGCUUUGUUAGUUUUCGGUUAAAUCCAUACGCCCAACGUAUGGGCUGCCGGGAAUACUGCAAAGCUAGGGAGUGGGAGAGGUAGACGGUACUCGGUAGGAAGGGGUAAAAUCCUUUGAUCUAUUGAUGACCACCUGUGGCGAAGGCGGUCUACCAGAACACGUCCGACGGUGAGGGAUGAAAGCUGGGGGAGCAAACCGGAUUAGAUACCCGGGUAGUCCCAGCUGUAAACUAUGCAAACUCAGUGAUGCAUUGGCUUGAUGCCAAUGCAGUGCUGCAGGGAAGCCGUUAAGUUUGCCGCCUGGGAAGUACGUACGCAAGUAUGAAACUUAAAGGAAUUGGCGGGGGAGCACCACAAGGGGUGAAGCCUGCGGUUCAAUUGGAGUCAACGCCGGG